UAGUCUCGCACAGAUGCAUAUCAAUAAGCGGAGGAAAAGAAACUAACAAGGAUUCCCUCAGUAACGGCGAGUGAAGCGGGAAGAGCUCAAAUUUGAAAUCUUGAAAGGUCACCUUUCACGAAUUGUAGUUUAAAGAAGUGUUUUCUGUUACGAUCGUAAUAUAAGUUCUUUGGAAUAGGACAUCACAGAGGGUGAGAAUCCCGUCUAUGAUUGCGAUUUGUAGCUUUGUGAUACACUUUCAAAGAGUCGGGUUGUUUGGGAAUGCAGCCCAAAACGGGAGGUAAAUUUCUUCUAAGGCUAAAUAUUGGCGAGAGACCGAUAGCGAACAAGUACCGUGAGGGAAAGAUGAAAAGAACUUUGAAAAGAGAGUUAAAUAGUACGUGAAAUUGUCAAAAGGGAAGCGUUUAACACCAGUGUUGUUUUCUGAAAAUCAACCUCUGUUAGCUUUAUGCAUGUUUGUUUAGACCUAAUCAGCUAUCUUGCAUGUUCUAUUGUUUGCAGUGGUGCACUUUUCAGUUUACAGGUCAACAUCAGUUUUUUUUACCGUAAAAAAGUUAAAGAAAGGUAGCUCAUGGCUCCGGUCGUGAGUGUUAUAGUCUUUUUCCUAUGCGGUAGGAGAGACUGAGGUCUGCAGUGUAGGCUAUUUGGCUAGAUACUCAGGUGCUAUGUGAUACCAUUUCAUAAACAACUUGUUGAUUAUGUUUUGUCUAUUGCAUACUCGCUUGUACUAUCAUACCUACGCUUAGGAUGUUGAGUCGUAGAGCACGCAG
rnacentral:rRNA from 1 species